UCUGUUUAAUUACAUAUUUUUUCAUCCUUUUUUUUUUUUUUCAGAGAGUUUCAAAGACUGUAGAUCUCAGAUUGAGAACUCCUGGUUGAAUGCUUUGGAGAAGAUCUGGGCUCCAUGCUUUGGAAGAGUUCAGAGUCUGGAAUCAAGAGGUGGACCCUUCUGAGAUCUCUUUAAUUUUUUCAUUGUCCUUGUGGAUGUGGGACAAGUCCCUCUUGAAUGGCAACGUCCAAGCUUCUUUGAUGGUGAACAGUUUUCUCCUCAGGGUGGAAGGAGGACUGUGCUGGCUGUGCUCCAGAUCUCUUACCAGUUUUUGUCUUUUUGAAAAUGGAGAGUCCCUACAAGAUUUUAAAUGAAGAAAGUCUUCCACUGCUGUAUAAAGAAAAAAAGAAAAAAAGAAAAAAACAGAAAAAUGUGAAAAGUGUGUAAGAAAGAGUGAGAACCUGUGCCUAGGCAACAGACAACAGGCAUGUAUCGAAGGGUGUACAUUGGAGGGGGAAUAAGCAUCUUCAAGUUUCAAAUAGCAGAUCGAGAGCAGUAGCAGAAAAGCCAUCAAAACCCAGAUGUUGAAGACUGUUUAAAGUGUGAACUUCAAACAAUCACAGAAAGACUUGAGGUUGUCUUUUAUUGCUUUUUAAUUCCCAGUAAAAGAAACUAAUCCACUUUGUUGUUGUUGUUUUUUUUUUCAACGUUUAUUUAUUUUUGGGACAGAGAGAGACAGAGCAUGAACGGGGGAGGGGCAGAGAGAGAGGGAGACACAGAAUCGGAAACAGGCUCCAGGCUCUGAGCCAUCAGCCCAGAGCCCGACGCGGGGCUGGAACUCACGGACCGCGAGAUCGUGACCCGGCUGAAGUCGGACGCUUAACCGACUGCGCCACCCCGGCGCCCCUAAUCCACUUUGUAUAUCCGUUCGUACGGUG
rnacentral:lncRNA from 1 species